GAUGAACGCUAGCGGCAGGCUUAACACAUGCAAGUCGAGGGGUAUGGCAGCAAUGCCUGAGACCGGCGCACGGGUGCGUAACGCGUAUGCAAUCUGCCUUUUUACAGAGGGAUAGCCCAGAGAAAUUUGGAUUAAUACCUCAUAGUAUAAUUGAGUGGCAUCAUUUGAUUAUUAAAGAUUUAUCGGUAAAAGAUGAGCAUGCGUCCCAUUAGCAGUUGGUAAGGUAACGGCUUACCAAGGCGACGAUGGGUAGGGGUCCUGAGAGGGAGAUCCCCCACACUGGUACUNAGACACGGACCAGACUCCUACGGGAGGCAGCAGUGAGGAAUAUUGG
rnacentral:rRNA from 1 species